rnacentral:antisense_RNA from 1 species
CACACAUAGGAACCUCCUCAAAGGAUUCUAUGGACAGUCAAUGCAGGGAGGUGCUACUCCCUGCAUUGGCGAUUCA